GAUGAACGCUGGCGGCGUGCUUAACACAUGCAAGUCGAACGGUGAAGGCGGAGCUUGCUCUGCUGGAUCAGUGGCGAACGGGUGAGUAACACGUGAGCAAUCUGCCCCUGACUCUGGGAUAAGCGCUGGAAACGGCGUCUAAUACUGGAUACGAGCUGCGAAGGCAUCUUCAGCAGCUGGAAAGAAUUUCGGUCAGGGAUGAGCUCGCGGCCUAUCAGCUUGUUGGUGAGGUAAUGGCUCACCAAGGCGUCGACGGGUAGCCGGCCUGAGAGGGUGACCGGACACACUGGGACUGAGACACGGCCCAGACUCCUACGGGAGGCAGCAGUGGGGAAUAUUGCACAAUGGGCGAAAGCCUGAUGCAGCAACUCCGCGUGAGGGACGACGGCCUUCGGGUUGUAAACCUCUUUUAGCAGGGAAGAAGCGAAAGUGACGGUACCUGCAGAAAAAGCGCCGGCUAACUACGUG
rnacentral:rRNA from 1 species